AUAGCUUAUAUACUCCAUAUAUUUUUCCCCCAAACUUGAGUUCAUAUCUAAAUUCAGUCUUCACUAACUAUUUAACUUGCUCUUUCAUUUCACUAGCAUUCAUCCUUUAGAACUCUAUUAUCUAUCCAUUUAAACUAUCAUAGCUAACAUGGUCAUUUUGCAAAAUGUGCUAUCCUUGAAAUAUCAGUGUCAAACAGAUAGGGAUUCAAAUCAUGUCAAGAAAAUCAUAUCACUAACUCAACAAUCCUUACUAGACUUGUUCAUGCAAUUUUAAGUUCAUCA
rnacentral:lncRNA from 1 species